rnacentral:rRNA from 1 species
UUUAUCGGAGAGUUUGAUCCUGGCUCAGGACGAACGCUGGCGGCGUGCCUAAUACAUGCAAGUCGAGCGGACAGAUGGGAGCUUGCUCCCUGAUGUUAGCGGCGGACGGGUGAGUAACACGUGGGUAACCUGCCUGUAAGACUGGGAUAACUCCGGGAAACCGGGGCUAAUACCGGAUGGUUGUCUGAACCGCAUGGUUCAGACAUAAAAG